AGAGUUUGAUCCUGGCUCAGGAUUAACGCUGGCGGCAUGCCUAAUACAUGCAAGUCGGACGAGGGUAGCAAUACCCUAGUGGCGAACGGGUGAGUAACACGUGGGAAAUCUGCCUUUAAGUCGAGGAUAACUGCUGGAAACGGCAGCUAAAACUGGAUAGGUUAUAUUGGGGCAUCCUGAUAUAAUUAAAAGUCCUUUACGGGAAUGCUUAAAGAUGAUCCUGCGUCGCAUUAGCUAGUUGGUGAGGUAGCGGCUCACCAAGGCGACGAUGCGUAGCUGUGCUGAGAGGCAAAACAGCCACACUGGGACUGAGACACGGCCCAGACUCCUACGGGAGGCAGCAGUAGGGAAUUUUCGGCAAUGGGGGGAACCCUGACCGAGCAAUGCCGCGUGAAUGAAGACGAUCUUCGGAUUGUAAAGUUCUGUUAUUAGGAAAGAAAGGUAUAGUGAGGGAAUGCACUAUAAUUGACGGUACCUGAUGAGAAAGCCCCGGCUAACUAUGUGCCAGCAGCCGCGGUAAUACAUAGGGGGCGAGCGUUAUCCGGAAUUAUUGGGCGUAAAGCGUGCGUAGGUGGUCAGUUAAGUCUGGCGUGAAAUUCCCUGGCUUAACCAGGGGGGGUCGUUGGAAACUGGCUGACUUGAAUCCAGAAGGGGUAAGUGGAAUUCCAUGUGUAGCGGUAAAAUGCAUAGAGAUAUGGAGGAACACCAGUGGCGAAGGCGGCUUACUGGUCUGGAAUUGACACUGAGGCACGAAAGCGUGGGUAGCAAACAGGAUUAGAUACCCUGGUAGUCCACGCCGUAAACGAUGAGCACUAAGUGUCGGACGAAAGUUCGGUGCUGUAGUUAACGCAUUAAGUGCUCCGCCUGGGGAGUACGGUCGCAAGACUGAAACUCAAAGGAAUUGACGGGGACUCGCACAAGCGGUGGAGCAU
rnacentral:rRNA from 1 species